UAUUUGAUGACUUUUCUUUCCUAGUGGAAGUUAGUUCAGUUACAGUUUUCCUGAAAAAUACACAGACCCCAUGCAGAGGGUCUCUGUGCCUUUUCUGUUGGUGUAGCUGCCUCAUAGAACCUUCCCAUCAUGAGCCUGAGAGAGAGCCCUGUGACUUUAUGAAGCAAGCGACAACAAAACUCCUCUAAAGCUGAACCGCCGUGAAAUAACCCAGGCCUUGAACUUGUCGCACGAUGUUGCUUUAAAUUUUAAUGCAAGCUCGGGAAUAGAUUUGUGUACAGCAAGGUAAAGCAAAGGCCAUGAAAUAUUGAUUCUGUACAUUUUCUUAUGCAUUUUUAUUCUCCAAUUUAGUAAAUUUUUCAU